rnacentral:tRNA from 1 species
UGGCUCAAUGGUAGAGUGCUCGACUCAAAUACGAAAGGUCGCGGGUUAGAAUCCCAC